rnacentral:lncRNA from 1 species
GGAGGAGCAACUUCCUGGGCAUGCGUGUUAAGAGACAAAAUCGUGGAGUAUGGCCUUCUGGGGGCACAUUGCCGGGUGAGGGAAGAAAGCCUCAGAUGGGAAUGGAUAUAACUUCCUAAACACACCGUGCAUGCUCACUUCCUAAAGGAUGGAUAAAGCAACUUGGAACCAAUUAAAAAUAGCUGGGUCUGGUGUCAGGCGACGUGGAUCACAUCAUUUCACCUGUCUCAGCCUCAGUAAUCACUUAGAGAUCCCAUAGCUAAAGGUCAAUUUUGGAAGAAUUUAUGUCUUUGUAAUAUUGAGUCUUCUCAAUGAGAAAAUCAAAAGGUAAAAAACAACAGAUGUUGGCAAGGCUGCGAAGAAAAGUGAAUGCUUAUACACUGUUGGUAGGCAUGUAAAUUAGUUCAGCCACUGUGGAAAGCAGUUUGGAGAUUUCUCGAAGAACUUAAGCAGAAGUACCAUUUGGCCCAGAAAUUACUGGGUAUAUGUCCAAAGGAAAAUAAAUCAUUCUACUAAAAAGACACAUGCACUCUAUGCUCAUUGCAGCACUAUUCACAGUAGCAAAGACAUGGUAUCAACCUAAGUGCCCAUCAGUGGUGGAUUGGAU